rnacentral:rRNA from 1 species
GACGAACGCUGGCGGCGUGCUUAACACAUGCAAGUCGAACGAAGAGCGAUGGAAGCUUGCUUCUAUCAAUCUUAGUGGCGAACGGGUGAGUAACGCGUAAUCAACCUGCCCUUCAGAGGGGGACAACAGUUGGAAACGACUGCUAAUACCGCAUACGAUCCAAUCUCGGCAUCGAGACUGGAUGAAAGGUGGCCUCUAUUUAUAAGCUAUCACUGAAGGAGGGGAUUGCGUCUGAUUAGCUAGUUGGAGGGGUAACGGCCCACCAAGGCGAUGAUCAGUAGCCGGUCUGAGAGGAUGAACGGCCACAUUGGGACUGAGACACGGCCCAGACUCCUACGGGAGGCAGCAGUGGGGAAUCUUCCGCAAUGGACGAAAGUCUGACGGAGCAACGCCGCGUGAGUGAUGACGGCCUUCGGGUUGUAAAGCUCUGUUAAUCGGGACGAAUGGUUCUUGUGCAAAUAGUGCGAGGAUUGACG